GAUCCCUGGCUCAGAUUGAACGCUGGCGGCAUGCCUUACACAUGCAAGUCGAACGGUAACAGGUCUUCGGAUGCUGACGAGUGGCGAACGGGUGAGUAAUACAUCGGAACGUGCCCGAUCGUGGGGGAUAACGGAGCGAAAGCUUUGCUAAUACCGCAUACGAUCUACGGAUGAAAGCAGGGGACCGCAAGGCCUUGCGCGGACGGAGCGGCCGAUGGCAGAUUAGGUAGUUGGUGGGAUAAAAGCUUACCAAGCCGACGAUCUGUAGGCUGGUCUGAGAGGACGACCAGCCACACUGGGACUGAGACACGGCCCAGACUCCUACGGGAGGCAGCAGUGGGGAAUUUUGGACAAUGGGCGAAAGCCUGAUCCAGCCAUGCCGCGUGCAGGAUGAAGGCCUUCGGGUUGUAAACUGCUU
rnacentral:rRNA from 1 species